CUCUGGAGGCACUGGAGACAAAGAUCAGCCACGUGGCAGUCAACCAUGUCUAUCUGACCAAGUUCCAAUGAAAACUCUGGACACCAAGGCUUGGGAGAUAUUUCUCAAAAGACUCCUCUGCGGGAGAGGAGAAUAGCUGUACUCUAAGCAGUUCGCAGGGAGCAUCUUUCAGCAGCUGAAACAGCUUUGCGGCCUUGCUGUAAUGAAGAUCUGCCAGCACCCGGUGUUGUUUCCUAAGGUGUUCAUCACCAACCUAGAACCAAACCAAAACAAGCAACAAAUCCUUCACGUUCAUCCCCUGCACCACAGUGGGCCUGCGCACAAAUCCGCAUGAGCCUUCCCGUGUUACAUAAUAAAAGGGCGGCAUUGGUGGCAUCCUCAAUUGAUUCAAAGUUGUGAAUUCCCUUUUCAAAACAAGAAAAGCUUUUUUUCCACAACUGUUGCUCGGCAGCAGACACAGAUUUGCUCACUUUACAGAGAAAGAAAGAAAACAACUGUGUAAGCAGACAUCAGUGUAAACCUUAGCACUGUCUCUUGAUGAGAUAAGAGGAGGAUGGCAGUGACAGGAGUGUGGUGGCGAGCCAGUCACCUGCAGUCAACCACGGCUCAUUGCUCUCACCAUGCCUGUUACAUGAAGGUAUGUAUGUAUAGGAAAAAGCACUGAAAAACUCUCCAGUUUCAGGCAUCCACUGGGGAUCUUGGAACG
rnacentral:lncRNA from 10 species